rnacentral:lncRNA from 1 species
AUCCAUAAUCGAAAAUAUUUCUAUCCAAAAAGGAAUGUGGUGACACUCUUGAGUAACUCGAUCCUUGCCACCAUCUUUUGGACCAAUUUUGGAUCCCUACCUAGUAGAGGCAUUCCAUGAAGAGCUAGUCUCGCUUUGAAUUAUAGAUUACAAGGAGCUCUUCCAUCCUUGAUGGAACCUAGCCUGACAUCAAUGUUCAAACCUAUCACCUUCUUUAUUUCAUGGCCAA